AUUGAACGCUGGCGGCAGGCCUAACACAUGCAAGCCGAGCGGAUGACGGGAGCUUGCUCCUUGAUUCAGCGGCGGACGGGUGAGUAAUGCCUAGGAAUCUGCCUGGUAGUGGGGGACAACGUUUCGAAAGGAACGCUAAUACCGCAUACGUCCUACGGACCAAAGUGUGGGACCUUCGGGCCACAUGCUAUCGGAUGCGCCUACGUGGGAGUUAGCUAGCUGGUGGGGUAAUGGCUCACCAAGGCGACGCUCCCUAGCUGGUUUGAGAGGAUGAUCAGCCACACUGGAACUGAGACACGGUCCAGACUCCUACGGGAGGCAGCAGUGGGGAAUAUUGGACAAUGGGCGCAAGCCUGAUCCAGCCAUGCCGCGUGUGUGAAGAAGGCCUUCGGGUUGUAAAGCACUUUCAGUAGGGAGGAAGCGUUGUGUGUUAAUAGUACACAGCGUUGACGUUACCUACAGAAGAAGCACCGGCUAACUCUGUGCCAGCCGCCGCCGUAAAAC
rnacentral:rRNA from 1 species